GCUUGUUUUGCUCAAUGGUUAGAGCAUCAGCCCGUGGACUGAAGGGUCCCAGGUUCAAUUCCUGGUCAAGGCA
rnacentral:tRNA from 1 species